CGAUUAGCCGACCGUUCGAAAUCGGGCGCCGGGGAAAACGCGCGUUUCCGGCGAAUGCGUCCUACAGGCCCGGGCCGCGGCAAACAACAAACAAGUCGAAAAUCGGGAUCGUAAAACGGUCGUGCGGUGGUGGGUCCUUAUAAAGGCCAUUCAAACGGAAACAAAUCUAAUAUGAUAUGUAUAGCAGUAUAUAUAUACAUUUUUUUUUUUAUUAGCUUUCACCGAGAAAGUAAUUACUGUAGCUCAACGAUUAAUUAUGUAAAAAAAAAAAAAAAAAAAACACGUUGUACACCGUACCUAAGUAGGUAAUAAAAAUAAUAAUAAAGUAAAUAAUAAAAUAUCCAACGAGACGUUUAUGCAUAAACGAUACACCGAUAAUAAAAUAUUGUGAAAGGCCGGUAGGCAGUAAGAAGUGUGCAGGCUAUGAAAUUUUAUAUUUUCAUUAAACCGCUAAACGACGCGCGUUAUUAUAUUAUAGUUAUUUUUAUUAGAUGUGUGUGAUCG